AUGGACCGUCGAUGCGGCUCCUCCUCUCGCGCUCCUAGCCCUCCGCCAGGAGAUUGGAGGAGAUGUUCAGUCCCGCACAACGAGCUGGUGACGCUCCAAGCGGAGGGAUACCUUCCUCCGUCCUUUAUGGUCCCGGUUCGAGCUGGGCUGGCCACCUACAAAGGUGGAAAGAAGGCGGAGAAAACCCCUAGUCCCUCUAAAGGAGAGCGGGUGUGCUUCGUCCCUUAUUUAAUAAGGGGGCUCAGAUUUCCCAUACAUUCGUUUCUCCGAGGGCUUCUGGAGUUCUACGGACUCCAGCUUCAUCACCUCACGCCUGCCUCUAUCCUGCACAUCGCGGGUUUCGUAGCUCUUUGCGAGCUGUUCUUGGGCAUCGAGCCCCAUUUUGCGCUGUUGAAGAGACUAUUUUGCCUCGUACCCCGUUCUCUCGAGGGGUCAAUAUAUCAAGUGGGCGGAGCCGAAAUAUGGCGCAUCGCCGGGACCGGAUAUCUAUCCGGAACCCCAAAGAAGGCGUCCGAAGACUGGCCCUCGGAAUGGUUUUAUGUGGAAGAUGCUCCACCGCCGGACCCAGUUCGGAUCGGCCUCCCGAAGUUCAGCAAGGCUCCUCUGAAGAAACGCCUAAGUUGGCGCCCGCGGAGCCCUCAAUAG
rnacentral:rRNA from 1 species